GACGAACGCUGGCGGCGUGCCUAAUACAUGCAAGUAGAACGCUGAAGGAGGAGCUUGCUCUUCUGGAUGAGUUGCGAACGGGUGAGUAACGCGUAGGUAACCUGCCUGGUAGCGGGGGAUAACUAUUGGAAACGAUAGCUAAUACCGCAUAACAGUAGAUGUUGCAUGACAUUUACUUAAAAGGUGCAAUUGCAUCACUACCAGAUGGACCUGCGUUGUAUUAGCUAGUUGGUGGGGUAACGGCUCACCAAGGCGACGAUACAUAGCCGACCUGAGAGGGUGAUCGGCCAAACUGGGACGGAGACACGGCCCAGACUCCUACGGGAGGCAGCAGUAGGGAAUCUUCGGCAAUGGACGGAAGUCUGACCGAGCAACGCCGCGUGAGUGAAGAAGGUUUUCGGAUCGUAAAGCUCUGUUGUAAGAGAAGAACGAGUGUGAGAGUGGAAAGUUCACACUGUGACGGUAGCUUACCAGAAAGGGACGGCUAACUACGUG
rnacentral:rRNA from 1 species